AAACUCAAAUGAAUUGACGGGGAGCACCACAACGGGUGGAGCUUGCGGUUUAAUUGGAUUCAACGCCGGAAAUCUUACCGGGACCGACAGCAAUAUGAAGGCCAGGCUGAAGACUUUGCCGGAUUAGCUGAGAGGUGGUGCAUGGCCGUCGUCAGUUCGUACUGUGAAGCAUCCUGUUAAGUCAGGCAACGAGCGAGACCCACGCCCACAGUUGCCAGCGUACUCUCUGGAGUGACGGGUACACUGUGGGGACCGCCGCUGCUAAAGCGGAGGAAGGAAUGGGCAACGGUAGGUCAGUAUGCCCCGAAUAUCCCGGGCUACACGCGAGCUACAAUGGUUGGUACAAUGGGUAUCUACUCCGAAAGGGGACGGGAAUCUCCUAAAACCAAUCUUAGUUCGGAUUGAGGGCUGCAACUCGCCCUCAUGAAGCUGGAAUCCGUAGUAAUCGUGUCUCAAAAUGGCACGGUGAAUAUGUCCCUGCUCCUU
rnacentral:rRNA from 1 species